rnacentral:rRNA from 1 species
AGAGCGAACGCUGGCGGCAGGCCUAACACAUGCAAGUCGAGCGCCCGUAGCAAUACGGGAGCGGCAGACGGGAUAGUAACACGUGGGAACGCGCCCUUCGGUUCGGAAUAACUCAGGGAAACUUGAGCUAAUACCGAAUACGCCCUUACGGGGAAGAUUUAUUGCCGAAGGAACGGCCCGCGUCCGAUUAGCUAGUUGGUGAGGUAAUGGCUCACCAAGGCUACGAUCGGUAGCUGGUCUGAGAGGAUGACCAGCAUCACUGGGACUGAGACACGGCCCAGACUCCUACGGGAGGCAGCAGUGGGGAAUAUUGGACAAUGGGCGCAAGCCUGAUCCAGCCAUGCCGCGUGGAUGAUGAAGGCCUUAGGGCUGUAAAGUCCUUUUAACGGGGAAGAUAAUGACGGUACCCGUAGAAUAAGCCCCGGCUAACUUCGUGCCAGCAGCCGC